rnacentral:rRNA from 1 species
GGGCUGUUGCUGGUCCUCAAUGGGGACACGUGCACGCUCUGUUUACACAUCCACUCACACCUGUGCACCCUCUGUAGUUCUACGGUAUGGGGGACCCCGUCUUCCUUCUGUGGUUCUAUGUCUUUACACACACACUGUAAUAAAGUCUUAUGGAAUGUAUGCCGCGUCUAACGCAAUACAAUACAACUUUCAGCAACGGAUCUCUUGGCUCUCGCAUCGAUGAAGAACGCAGCGAAAUGCGAUAAGUAAUGUGAAUUGCAGAAUUCAGUGAAUCAUCGAAUCUUUGAACGCACCUUGCGCCCCUUGGCUAUUCCGAGGGGCAUGCCUGUUUGAGUAUCAUGAACACCUCAACUCUCAUGGUUUGCCAUGACGAGCUUGGACCUUGGGGGUUUUGCUGGCCUGUGGUCGGCUCCUCUCAAAUGAAUCAGCCUCCCAGUGUUUGGUGGCGUCACGAGUGUGAUAACUAUCUACGCUCGCGGUUGUCCACCAGGUAACCUUUGGUGACAAAGGUUCGCUGGAGCUCAUAGAUGUCUCUCCUCAGCGAGGACAGCUUUUUAACGUUCGAUCUCAAAUCAGGUAGGACUACCCGCUGAACUUAAGCAUAUCAAUAAGCGGAGGAAAAGAAACUAACAAGGAUUCCCCUAGUAACUGCGAGUGAAGCGGGAAGAGCUCAAAUUUAAAAUCUGGCGUGCCUCUGGUCGUCCGAGUUGUAGUCUAGAGAAGUGUUUUCCGUGCUGGACCGUGUAC